UACGAAGGGGGCUAGCGUUGCUCGGAAUGACUGGGCGUAAAGGGCGCGUAGGCGGAUGCGUCAGUCAGACGUGAAAUUCCUGGGCUUAACCUGGGGGCUGCGUUUGAGACGGUGUGUCUGGAGUUUGGAAGAGGGUCGUGGAAUUCCCAGUGUAGAGGUGAAAUUCGUAGAUAUUGGGAAGAACACCGGUGGCGAAGGCGGCGACCUGGUCCUGGACUGACGCUGAGGCGCGAAAGUGUGGGGAGCGAACCGG
rnacentral:rRNA from 1 species